UACGGAGGGAGCUAGCGUUGUUCGGAAUUACUGGGCGUAAAGCGCGCGUAGGCGGCUUUGUAAGUUAGAGGUGAAAGCCCGGAGCUCAACUCCGGAACUGCCUUUAAGACUGCAUCGCUUGAAUCCAGGAGAGGUGAGUGGAAUUCCGAGUGUAGAGGUGAAAUUCGUAGAUAUUCGCAAGAACACCAGUGGCGAAGGCGGCUCACUGGCCCGUAACUGACGCUGAGGCACGAAAGCGUGGGGAGCAAACAGG
rnacentral:rRNA from 1 species